rnacentral:rRNA from 1 species
CAGCCGCCGCGGUAAUACGUAGGUGGCAAGCGUUGUCCGGAAUUAUUGGGCGUAAAGGGCUCGCAGGCGGUUUCUUAAGUCUGAUGUGAAAGCCCCCGGCUCAACCGGGGAGGGUCAUUGGAAACUGGGAAACUUGAGUGCAGAAGAGGAGAGUGGAAUUCCACGUGUAGCGGUGAAAUGCGUAGAGAUGUGGAGGAACACCAGUGGCGGAGGCGACUCUCUGGUCUGUAACUGACGCUGAGGAGCGAAAGCGUGGGGAGCAAAUGGGAUUAGAUACCCCCGUAGUCCCUGUCUCUUAUAU